AGCGAACGCUGGCGGCAGGCUUAACACAUGCAAGUCGAGCGGGCACUUUCGGGUGUCCGCGGCGGACGGGUGAGUAACGCGUGGGAACGUGCCCUCUGGUUCGGAAUAACUCAGGGAAACUUGAGCUAAUACCGGAUACGCCCUUUUGGGGAAAGGCUUGCUGCCGGAGGAUCGGCCCGCGUCUGAUUAGCUAGUUGGUGAGGUAACGGCUCACCAAGGCGACGUUCAGUAGCUGGUCUGAGAGGAUGAUCAGCCACACUGGGACUGAGACACGGCCCAGACUCCUACGGGAGGCAGCAGUGGGGAAUAUUGGACAAUGGGCGCAAGCCUGAUCCAGCCAUGCCGCGUGAGUGAUGAAGGCCUUAGGGUUGUAAAGCUCUUUUAUCCGGGACGAUAAUGACGGUACCGGAGGAAUAAGCCCCGGCUAACUUCGUG
rnacentral:rRNA from 1 species